UUUCNNUGGGGGAACCCUGAUGGAGCGACGCCGCGUGGGGGAUGAAUGGCUUCGGCCCGUAAACCCCUGUCAUUUGCGAACAAUUCUGUUCACCUAACACGUGAACAGUUGAUAGUAGCGGAAGAGGAAGGGACGGCUAACUCUGUGCCAGCAGCCGCGGUAAUACAGAGGUCCCAAGCGUUGUUCGGAUUCACUGGGCGUAAAGGGUGCGUAGGUGGCGAGGUAAGUCUGAUGUGAAAUCUCGGAGCUCAACUCCGAAACUGCAUUGGAUACUAUCUGGCUGGAGGGUCGGAGGGGGGACUGGAAUUCUCGGUGUAGCAGUGAAAUGCGUAGAUAUCGAGAGGAACACCAGUGGCGAAGGCGAGUCCCUGGACGACUCCUGACACUGAGGCACGAAAGCUAGGGGAGCAAACAGGAUUAGAUACCCUGGUAGUCCUAGCCGUAAACGGUGCGUAUUUGCUGUAAAAGGAAUCGACCCCUUUUGUGGCGUAGCUAACGCGAUAAAUACGCCGCCUGGGAAGUACGGUCGCAAGAUUAAAACUCAAAAGAAUUGACGGA
rnacentral:rRNA from 1 species